AAAAUACUCCCUCCGUUCGGAAUUACUUGUCUCGGAAAUGGAUAUAUCUAGAACUAAAAUACAUCUAGAUACAUCCAUUUCUACGACAAGUAAUUCCGAACGGAGGGAGUAGCUU
rnacentral:pre_miRNA from 1 species